GUGAGGAAUUUUCCGCAAUGGGCGAAAGCCUGACGGAGCAAUGCCGCGUGAAGGAUGAAGGCCUAUGGGUUGUAAACUUCUUUUCUCAGAAAAGAAUUAUGACGGUAUCUGAGGAAUAAGCAUCGGCUAACUCUGUGCCAGCAGCCGCGGUAAGACAGAGGAUGCAAGCGUUAUCCGGAAUGAUUGGGCGUAAAGCGUCUGUAGGUUGUGUAAAAAGUAUUCUGUCAAAGAUUAGGGCUUAACCCUAGAUAGGCAGAAUAAACUUUUAAGCUAGAGUUUGGUAGAGGCAGAGGGAAUUCCCGGUGGAGCGGUGAAAUGCUUAGAUAUCGGGAGGAACACCAAAAGCGAAGGCACUCUGCUGGGCCAAUACUAACACUGAGAGACGAAAGCGAGGGGAGCAAAUGGGAUUAGAUACCCGAGUAGUCC
rnacentral:rRNA from 1 species